AUGGCCUCCUCCUCCCACCAAGAAGAACUCCAUGAACAAGGCCAGGAAGACGAAGAAGGGGAAGACCACGACCAGCAUGGCGACCAAAUCACCGCUCCACUUCCUCAGCCAUCAAGUUCGCCGGAGGAAGGGGAGGAAUGGGGGGAGGCAGAGAACUCGCCGGUGGAGCAGGUGGCGCUGACGGUGCCGGUGGGAGACGACCCGUCGACGCCGGUGCUGACGUUCCGGAUGUGGGUGCUGGGCGCCACCUCCUGCGUGGCGCUCUCCUUCCUCAACACCUUCUUCGGGUACCGCAAGGAGCCGCUGGAGAUCACGGCCAUCUCGGCGCAGGUCGCCGUCGUGCCGCUCGGCCGCCUCAUGGCCGUGGCGCUGCCCGAGCGCGCCUUCUUCCGAGGCCGGCGGUGGGAGUUCACGCUCAACCCGGGGCCCUUCAACGUGAAGGAGCACGUGCUCAUCACCAUCUUCGCCAACGCCGGCGCCGGCAGCGUCUUCGCCAUCAACCUCGUCACGGCCGUCCGCGUCUUCUACGGCAAGCCCAUCUCCUUCUUCGUCUCCCUUCUCGUCGUCCUCACCAGCCAGGUGCUGGGGUUCGGGUGGGCGGGCAUAUUCCGGCGGUAUCUUGUGGAGCCGGUGGCGAUGUGGUGGCCGUCCAACCUUGUGCAGGUCUCCCUCUUCAGGGCACUUCAUGAGAAGGAACGAAGGCGCAAAGGUGGCACGACGCGCACUCAAUUCUUCAUGGUGGCAUUCGCGUGCAGUUUUGCCUACUACAUCUUCCCAGGCUACCUGUUCGAGAUGCUCACUUCCAUUUCCUGGAUCUGUUGGAUCUUUCCCACCUCCGUAGUCGCUCAACAGCUCGGCUCGGGCCUCCACGGCCUUGGCAUAGGUGCAAUUGGGCUUGACUGGUCAUCCAUCUCCUCGUACCUCGGAAGCCCUCUCGCUAGCCCCUUGUUUGCCACUGCCAAUAUCGCUGCGGGCUUCUUCAUCUACAUUUAUGUUGUCACGCCCAUCACAUACUGGUUUAAAGCUUCCCUAUCUUUUCAGAUGGUCUCUUUACGGCGACUGCUAUGGCCUUGGUUUUGCUUGCCUGACCGCAACGAUUGUCCAUGUUCUCCUUUUCCUUGGAAGUUAAGCAAAUCAGCUUUCCAGGAUAGAAAGAUGGAUGUACACACAAAGCUUAUGAGGAGAUACAGGCAGGUUCCUGAAUGGUGGUUCAUUUGCAUCCUUGUCGCCGGUGCUGCAAUCGCCGUGUUCACUUCUCCAGGUUUGAAUAUCAUCACGGAGUACGACAUCAUGGGUUUCUUGUAUCCUGGACGACCUGUUGCAAACAUGUGUUUCAAGGUAUAUGGCCACGUUGCCCCUCGUCAAGCUCUAGCAUUUCUGCAAGAUUUUAAGUUGGGCCACUACAUGAAGAUUCCCCCAAGGACCAUGUUUAUGGCUCAGGUUGUAGGCACUUUGAUAUCAGCAUUUGUGUACCUUGGAACAGCAAGGUGGAUGAUGGACACAAUCCCCAAUAUAUGCAACACCGAGCUCCUCCCAGCAGGCAGCCCUUGGACCUGUCCUUACGAUCAUUUAUUCUACGAUGCAUCAGUCAUAUGGGGCCUUAUCAGCCCACGCAGAAUAUUCGGUGAUUUAGGAACUUACUCUGCUGUGAACUGGUUCUUUUUGGGCGGUGCCAUCGCUCCCCUCCUUGUCUGGCUUGCACACAAGGCAUUCCCAGGCCAAAAAUUGAGAAUAUUCUUCUUUGUAUAUAAAUAA
rnacentral:rRNA from 1 species